rnacentral:rRNA from 1 species
UACGUAGGGAGCAAGCGUUGUCCGGAAUCAUUGGGCGUAAAGCGCGCGUAGGUGGCCACAUAAGUCCGUUGUGAAAGUCAAAGGCUCAACCUUUGAAAGCCGAUGGAUACUGUGUGGCUAGAGUACGGAAGAGGCGAGUGGAAUUCCUGGUGUAGCGGUGGAAUGCGCAGAUAUCAGGAGGAACACCAAUAGCGAAGGCAGCUCUCUGGGACGGUACUGACGCUGAGACGCGAAAGCGUGGGGAGCGAACAGG